GCACCCGUAGCUCAACUGGAUAGAGCAAUGGCCUACGGAGCCAUAGGUUGGGGGUUCGAAUCCCUCCGGGUGUA
rnacentral:tRNA from 1 species